CUCUCAUAACCACAACAAAAACCAGAGCCACUUGUUCGUCCUUUCACUGAAGCCCAACAGACUGGCGUGGGUGCCCGCUUUGCUUUCCCUAGAAGGCCUCAUAAAGGAUGAUACUGAAGAAAUCCCCCCAACCCCAAAGAAAUAGACUGCAGCACUGAUUGGACGACUUUGGGCAGCAGCAGGGGGUGUCCCUGGACUCCGUGCCUGUGUGGGAACACGAGAUGGGCCUCUGGGACAGGGAGGAGCCACCUCCCCAGCACCACAUCCAGACAGGGGUCCACAUUGCAGGAUCCGCAGAGAAGCAGGAAAUGGUGCAGGAGGAUCUAACCUGGAUGCAGGGUAUGUCUAGAGGUCAGUUUGGACAGGGACAGGAACCUCUAGACAUGUUUUUCUGGGUGAACGAGAUAAGCGGAGAAAUCACCUACCCCCCGCAGAAGGCAGAUGCACCUGCUGUUUCUCCUGAGAGCCCACAAAAGAAGCCCCCAUUUCAGCCCAGGAGUGUGCAGGAGGCUCCUUGCAGUCCCCAGGGCCCGCCUGCACAGAGGCCUGCCCUUGCACCUCCAUCUAAGCCUUCUCUGAAAGACUCAGGCUCAAGAAACCCCUGCCCAUCUGCACCCACCUGGGCCAGGCCAAAGCCGGAGGAGUGAGGAGCCCCCACCGUUCUCAGCAAUCCCUGUCACCAUCUCAUCACCAGGAGUGACUCUGCCCAUACUCGGACCCCUGGGACCAGCCCUUCAGCCACCGGUCUCGACCUCUCCUCUCAGCCCUUCUGCACCCUGGGCCUUCACCUGCAAGCUGAACAAUGUCCUUACUGGGAAUAACUGGUUUUCCUUUUGAAUCUUAAGAAAAUUUGUCUGGCUACACUCUUUAAGCACCUUCCUGAGCCACCCGUGGCCAGGCUCUGCUGGCCGCAUCUGCCUGGCCCCAUCUACCUUCCCUGGAAGCACAGGACUCACCCCAGGGGUCUCACAGGAACAUGCCCAGUGCUUUCAAACCCAGUAAAAUUUUACUUAGAUUUUGA